rnacentral:rRNA from 1 species
AUUGAACGCUGGCGGCGUGCCUAACACAUGCAAGUCGAACGAGUGGCGGACGGGUGAGUAAUGUAUGGGAACCUGCCGGGUGAAGGGGGAUAACUGUUGGAAAGGAUAGCUAAUACCGCAUAUUAUACGAGCGGCCGCGUGGGGAUUAGCUAGUUGGGGGGGGAACGGCCCACGAAGGCGACGAUCAGUAGCGGGUCUGAGAGGAUGACCAGCCACACUGGAACUGAGACACGGCCCAGACUCCUACGGGAGGCAGCAGUGGGGAAUUUUGGACAAUGGGCGCAAGCCUGAUGCAGCCAUGCCGCGUGUCUGAAGAAGGCCUUCGGGUUGUAAAGGACUUUUGUCAGGGAGGCGGUACCUGAAGAAGAAGCACCGGCUAACUACGUGCCAGCAGCCGCGGUAAUAC